CUUGCCAUCACACUGUAUUCUAAGAAGAAGGACUUAAUUCAAAGCUCCAUAAGUCAUAGAUUUCGAGGACCCGAAGCAGCAUACCCUGAAGUGAGAUGAAUGUCAGACAUUGCUGUAAAACUACAGAGCCAUUUAAAAAAUCAACCACUGUGUGGAUAAGAAUAAGUACGUCCUCUUUUUUUGCAAGAUUGAUGAGUGAAAAACCUGAAUUAAUCUACUUCUCCGAAUGGCUGUCCUUUAGCAGAAUCUAAUUAGUGUACAUGGCCAGUUAAAUAAGUGAUAGGGAUGAACAUAGUUGUCAUGAAAGACACAUGAACCUGAGUGUACAGCACAGUCAAUAAAUCUGCUAAAAAUGGAAGAUUGAUUGUCUUAGGCUGAUAUUCCAUAUCUUCUUGCCUUGAAAUUUACAUGAUCGCAGAACAGGAAAUGUUGGAAAGAACCACAGUGGGGCCAUCGGAUCCAACCUCCCUGCUGAAGCAGGGUCUUCUUAAGCACAUGGCACAGAAUUGCAUCCAGAUUAAUUCUUGAUAUCUCCAAGGAAGGACACUCAGCAACCCCUCCAGCUAAAACCUAGAACAGAACUAAAAGUCAUGCAGUAGAAGAAUGAACACAAUUAAGGGCUGAAGACAUAGAGCCAUAGACUUAUAGAAUCCAUUUUGGGAAAGAUCUCCGAGAUCAAGCCAAACCAAUACCACCAUCACUAAACAUAUUCUGUCACAGCUCAAAGUCACAUCACCAGCAUACAGAAAAAAAUUUACAGCAAAUCAUAAUUUUGCCAGAAAUGGAUAUAAAUAAAUAUUGUAUGUAUGUAAAAUAGAUUGAUAUGUUAAAUUACACUGAAAGGCUUUCAGGUCCAAGAUUUUUCUUAGAUAUUUAAGUAAUACUAAGAUUAUCAUUAAGCAGAUAGAAAACCCCUAUGAAUUGAUCCUGGUCUCUGAUGUCAAGGAUGUAAGUCCUCACUGUAAUUUUAGAGCUUGUUUCUGCUAUUUUAAAAGCCUUUAUGGACCUAAUAAUAUUUGAUAAGAUGAGCAGUACUGAUCAAGAACUUCUACAGUCUUUAUUUUUAACAAAUGGAAUUAUUUAAAUGUAUUUGUAAUAUGCAUGAUUUCCUAAGGUUUGUUCUCUCUUGCUAUACUCAUUCUUUCUUAAUAAAGAGAAAAAGACUGAG